UACGUAGGGUGCGAGCGUUAAUCGGAAUUACUGGGCGUAAAGCGUGCGCAGGCGGCGCGUUAAGACAGGUGUGAAAGCCCCAGGCUUAACUUGGGAAUUGCGCUUGUGACUGGCGUGCUGGAGUGUGGCAGAGGGGGGGUAGAAUUCCACGUGUAGCAGUGAAAUGCGCAGAUAUCAGGAGGAACACCAAUUGCGAAGGCAGCUCGCUGGGACGUCACUGACGCUGAGACGCGAAAGCGUGGGGAGCAAACAGG
rnacentral:rRNA from 1 species